AAUGAAGACCUACUUUUGGCCAGUUUUCUCGCCCUCGCCUUGGAUCUCAUCUUGUCGGCUUGUAGAUUCCUCUCGUCGUCCUCCGUGAGCCCAGAAGCAGCAACAACACUAUCUUCAUCUCACCAGCAUUCUCCUGCCAGCACCUUCUUGGAUUUUUACCCCUUUAACAGCGACAACUUGGUUUUCUCCAACCGGCGGUGGACACAGAGGACAAGCAGCGGCCAGCAGCUGUUUGACACAUGCCCGGAUCCUCCACCAGCGCUGCACCGGGGAGAAGUUCACAUUUGUAACAGUCGUAUUUGUAGCACUUAUUUCUUGGAAGAGUGUUUGUGUUCACUGUUGGCGCUUAAAGUUGAGCGCAGAUCACCUGAACUAAAGGUGGAGAGGCUGCAGACUUUGUGAGUCUGACUUUUGCCUUGCACCUGUUUGUUUGUUUGCUGCAGGCAGGAGGGGACGCCUUUAGAUUAGUCCAUGCAUCCAGCAGUCUGAUGCAGGCUGAAGGACUACAAGGUAAUUUUUAGAUUUCUAUUUACGAAAUAUGUAUCUAUUCAAACACAAACACAUGAUUCUGAAGCAUUAUUUUUUUUUACUUGUGUGUUAAUAUUGAAGUUGGAUUGUAGGCCAUUUACUGUAUUUAUACAAGGAAAAAUAGGCAAUCUUUUAUUAUACAAUUUAUUCAUUUUUAAAAAAAAAUUAAUUUGCAUGGUUUUAAAUUUGUGAUGUAUUUGGUUGGUAUGAAACUUAUUAUUUAUUAUUAUUAUUAUUAUUAUUAUUAUUAUCAUUAUUAUUAUUAUUGUUAAUAUUGAUAUUAUUAUUGUUUGGCAAUUUUUUGGCUAAAAAUCAUUAAUUAUAUGAUAUUAUACUGAUAAAAUCAACGCUGUGCAUUUUUUGUUGUUAUCGGCCGAAACAUAAUAAUGUAGGCCUCUAAAAAAAAAAAAAAAAAGAAGAAGAAGCCAAACGAGGCUUUAGAAGCAGUGGAUAGUAAAUGUAUUUGUAUUUAUUUAUUUAUUUA